CAACCUGAGGCCUGUGGCUUCAGUGACAUCCCCUUUCUUUGAAACUGCUUCUACAAAUUGCUGUUCACGCUUUUGGGAGCAUUGAAUGAGCCUGUAUGUGUUAAACACUUACAAGCAUAAGUUAUAUUCUUGAUUGGUGGCAUGAGAAGGUACUAUGAAGCUUCUUUUUCUCCAAAGGUGAAAUGGUUGAAGUUGGGCUUUCUACCAGAAUAUGAAAAUAAAUAGAUGCAGGUUAAUCACACCUCCAGCUACUUAGUGGCAAAGACUGUCUAAUAUCUCUUGCAGAAACUCAUUUACAGGUAAAAACAUGUCCAUGUUUCCUUUGAUUUGCCCUGAGGAACUCAAGAGGAUUGGCCCCAAAUUUCAGAGCACA